AUCAGAAAUGUAAAUAUUAAACAUUUAGACAUGAAUAGUUUCCAUUUACUUUGUUCAAACAACCAACUUUCCUUAUUUUAAAUUUAAUGAGGAAAAUG